rnacentral:rRNA from 1 species
CCUACGGGAGGCAGCAGUGGGGAAUAUUGGACAAUGGGCGAAAGCCUGAUCCAGCAAUGCCGCGUGUGUGAAGAAGGCCUUCGGGUUGUAAAGCACUUUCAGUGGGGAAGAAAGCCUUGGGGCUAAUACCCUCGAGGAAGGACAUCACCCACAGAAGAAGCACCGGCUAACUACGUGCCAGCAGCCGCGGUAAUACGGAGGGUGCGAGCGUUAAUCGGAAUUACUGGGCGUAAAGCGCGCGUAGGCGGUCUGAUAAGCCGGUUGUGAAAGCCCCGGGCUCAACCUGGGAACGGCAUCCGGAACUGUCAGGCUAGAGUGCAGUAGAGGAAGGUAGAAUUCCCGGUGUAGCGGUGAAAUGCGUAGAGAUCGGGAGGAAUACCAGUGGCGAAGGCGGCCUUCUGGACUGUCACUGACGCUGAGGUGCGAAAGCGUGGGUAGCAAACAGGAUUAGAUACCCGAGUAGUC